GGGGAAGGAGAAAGGGUCACCUCGGAUGGACAGACCAGGAGCUCUCAGGAGGACAGGGGCAGAGCGCUGGACCAAGAAGCGGGAGACCAGGAUCUUCUGCACUCCAACCACGAGGGCUCUGAUUGCAAAGUGGCCUCAACUUCGUUAAAAAUAAGAUAAAUCCUCCUUCAUGCAAGUGGAGCCCAUGCUUCUCUGAAUGGUAAGAGAUCUGGAGGCGUCUCCCAGGAGCCCUGUGAGCAUAGCAACAGUGGAAAAUUCUGGAAGGAAUCAGGCCAUUUUUCUAACCAGUGGUCUACAGCCUGUUAUCAACACAGACAUGAACUCUCACGGUAGUUGCUGGAAGUGGACAUCAUCUUCCCCUUCACAGAAAGGAAACUGAGGCUCAGAGAGGGCAAGCUAUGCGCUCAAGGUCACCCAGUCAGGACGUUUUCAGCUCAGUCAGGCUUUGAACUCGACAGCGUCUGAUGCCGUGCACGCGUGCGUGCUCUGUCACUCAGUCGUGUCCGACUCUUUGCAACCCCAUGGACUGUAGCCCGCCAGGCUCCUCUGACCAUGGGGAUUCUCCAGGCAAGAAUACAGGAGUGGGUUGCCAUGCCCUCCUCCAGGGGAUCUUCCCG
ensembl:lncRNA